GUUUUGUGUUUUAGGCGGUUCAAAGCCCGCGCGACAUUCUUUGCAAACUGGGGUUUGGUAUGCGGCAUCGGGAGGUCGCCCUCCCUCCGCCGUGAAAGUUCACAGUGGGUUUGUGAGGUUAUGGUCGGGGCGGGAACCCGCUGCACGACCCGUUUGGAUCGGAGCAGGGCGCACCGCAGCCCGACCGAGGUUAUGUUAAUGAUCCUUCCGCAGGUUCACCUACGGAAA
rnacentral:misc_RNA from 1 species